rfam:Aedes aegypti strain Liverpool supercont1.957 genomic scaffold, whole genome shotgun sequence.
UGCUCAGCAACUCCUAUCCCUACCUCCUCGCGGUACUGGCCGGGGUAUGAGUAACCUUAGGGAAGAUCGGGUAACCAAACCCUGGUGGAAACUCUGGUCGUAUGCUGACAGGGAAGG